rnacentral:tRNA from 1 species
AUGGUCUAGUGGUUAAGACUCUGCACUCUCACUGCAGGGGGAGUGGGUUUGAUCCCUGUU